AUUGAACGCUGGCGGCAUGCUUUACACAUGCAAGUCGAACGGUAACAGGUUAAGCUGACGAGUGGCGAACGGGUGAGUAAUGCAUCGGAACGUGCCCGGUCGUGGGGGAUAACGCAGCGAAAGUUGCGCUAAUACCGCAUACGAUCUGAGGAUGAAAGCGGGGGACCGUAAGGCCUCGCGCGAUCGGAGCGGCCGAUGUCAGAUUAGGUAGUUGGUGGGGUAAAGGCUCACCAAGCCAACGAUCUGUAGCUGGUCUGUGAGGACGACCAGCCACACUGGGACUGGGACAGGGCCCAGACUCCUACGGGAGGCAGCAGUGGGGAAUUUUGGACAAUGGGCGAAAGCCUGAUCCAGCAAUGCCGCGUGCAGGAAGAAGGCCUUCGGGUUGUAAACUGCUUUUGUACGGAGCGAAAAGGUCUCCUCUAAUACAGGGGGCUCAUGACGGUACCGUAAGAAUAAGCACCGGCUAACUACGUGCCAGCCGCCGCAGUAA
rnacentral:rRNA from 1 species